rnacentral:tRNA from 1 species
GGAACGGUCUGUGGCUCAGUGGCAGAGCAUCUCCUUUGCAUGCAGAAGGUCACAGGUUUAAUCCCUGGCAUCUCCC